rnacentral:rRNA from 1 species
UGCAGUCGAACGGUAACAUUUCUAGCUUGCUAGAAGAUGACGAGUGGCGGACGGGUGAGUAAUGCUUGGGAACUUGCCUUUGCGAGGGGGAUAACAGUUGGAAACGACUGCUAAUACCGCAUAAUGUCUUCGGACCAAACGGGGCUUCGGCUCCGGCGCAAAGAGAGGCCCAAGUGAGAUUAGCUAGUUGGUAAGGUAACGGCUUACCAAGGCGACGAUCUCUAGCUGUUCUGAGAGGAAGAUCAGCCACACUGGGACUGAGACACGGCCCAGACUCCUACGGGAGGCAGCAGUGGGGAAUAUUGCACAAUGGGGGAAACCCUGAUGCAGCCAUGCCGCGUGUGUGAAGAAUGCCUUCGGGUUGUAAAGCACUUUCUGUUGUGAGGAAAAGUUAAUAGUUAAU